rfam:Erinaceus europaeus unplaced genomic scaffold scaffold00090, whole genome shotgun sequence
GGAUGUGAGGGUGAUCUGGCUGUGAGGUCUGUCACCCCACUGAUCUCCAGGGUUGAUUAGGCUCAUCUGGUUGGUUAGGCAGGUGUCCUCUUCCUCCCUCACUGCUCCAUGUGUGUCCCUCCCCAAGCUUCGCUUUCAGUGAAUAGAGAUGGACUGUUCUUUGGUGGAGGGUAUAUGAGUAGCUGUGCUCCCCUGCUAGAACUUCCAAACAAGCUCUCAAAUUAAAACUCAGUCAUGGUCAGCUUCAAUCUUACCAUGCAAUUAAAAAUAUCAGAUAUGAUCAAAUGAUAAAAAAAAGGAGGCAACAGAUACCAAAUUCAGACUGGCCAUGUGAUUAUUU